CAAAAUAUAUGUUAAGUGGAAAAGGAUGUGGCGUUGCCCAGACAACUAGGAUGUUGGCUUAGAAGCAGCCAUCAUUUAAAGAGUGCGUAAUAGCUCACUAGUCGAGUGACACUGCGCCGAAAAUGUACCGGGGCUAAACAUAUUACCGAAGCUGUGGAUUGUCCUUUGGACAAUGGUAGGAGAGCGUUCUAAGGGCGUUGAAGCAUGAUCGUAAGGACAUGUGGAGCGCUUAGAAGUGAGAAUGCCGGUGUGAGUAGCGAAAGACGGGUGAGAAUCCCGUCCACCGAUUGACUAAGGUUUCCAGAGGAAGGCUCGUCCGCUCUGGGUUAGUCGGGUCCUAAGCUGAGGCCGACAGGCGUAGGCGAUGGAUAACAGGUUGAUAUUCCUGUACCACCUAUAAUCGUUUUAAUCGAUGGGGGGACGCAGUAGGAUAGGCGAAGCGUGCGAUUGGAUUGCACGUCUAAGCAGUAAGGCUGAGUAUUAGGCAAAUCCGGUACUCAUUAAGGCUGAGCUGUGAUGGGGAGAAGACAUUGUGUCUUCGAGUCGUUGAUUUCACACUGCCGAGAAAAGCCUCUAGAUAGAAAAUAGGUGCCCGUACCGCAAACCGACACAGGUAGUCAAGAUGAGAAUUCUAAGGUGAGCGAGCGAACUCUCGUUAAGGAACUCGGCAAAAUGACCCCGUAACUUCGGGAGAAGGGGUGCUCUUUAGGGUUAACGCCCAGAAGAGCCGCAGUGAAUAGGCCCAAGCGACUGUUUAUCAAAAACACAGGUCUCUGCUAAACCGUAAGGUGAUGUAUAGGGGCUGACGCCUGCCCGGUGCUGGAAGGUUAAGAGGAGUGGUUAGCUUCUGCGAAGCUACGAAUCGAAGCCCCAGUAAACGGCGGCCGUAACUAUAACGGUCCUAAGGUAGCGAAAUUCCUUGUCGGGUAAGUUCCGACCCGCACGAAAGGCGUAACGAUUUGGGCACUGUCUCAACGAGAGACUCGGUGAAAUCAUAGUACCUGUGAAGAUGCAGGUUACCCGCGACAGGACGGAAAGACCCCGUGGAGCUUUACUGUAGCCUGAUAUUGAAAUUCGGCACAGCUUGUACAGGAUAGGUAGGAGCCUUUGAAACGUGAGCGCUAGCUUACGUGGAGGCGCUGGUGGGAUACUACCCUAGCUGUGUUGGCUUUCUAACCCGCACCACUUAUCGUGGUGGGAGACAGUGUCAGGCGGGCAGUUUGACUGGGGCGGUCGCCUCCUAAAAGGUAACGGAGGCGCUCAAAGGUUCCCUCAGAAUGGUUGGAAAUCAUUCAUAGAGUGUAAAGGCAUAAGGGAGCUUGACUGCGAGACCUACAAGUCGAGCAGGGUCGAAAGACGGACUUAGUGAUCCGGUGGUUCCGCAUGGAAGGGCCAUCGCUCAACGGAUAAAAGCUACCCCGGGGAUAACAGGCUUAUCUCCCCCAAGAGUUCACAUCGACGGGGAGGUUUGGCACCUCGAUGUCGGCUCAUCGCAUCCUGGGGCUGUAGUCGGUCCCAAGGGUUGGGCUGUUCGCCCAUUAAAGCGGUACGCGAGCUGGGUUCAGAACGUCGUGAGACAGUUCGGUCCCUAUCCGUCGUGGGCGUAGGAAAUUUGAGAGGAGCUGUCCUUAGUACGAGAGGACCGGGAUGGACAUACCUCUGGUGUACCAGUUGUCGUGCCAACGGCAUAGCUGGGUAGCUAUGUGUGGACGGGAUAAGUGCUGAAAGCAUCUAAGCAUGAAGCCCCCCUCAAGAUGAGAUUUCCCAACUUCGGUUAUAAGAUCCCUCAAAGAUGAUGAGGUUAAUAGGUUCGAGGUGGAAGCAUGGUGACAUGUGGAGCUGACGAAUACUAA
rnacentral:rRNA from 1 species